UACAGAGGGGGCAAGCGUUGUCCGGACUCACUGGGCGUAAAGGGUGCGUAGGCGGUUCCGUGCGUCGGCGCUGAAAUCCCUGGGCUUAACCCAGGGGCGCGUGCCGAUACGACGGGACUUGAGCCUCUGAGAGGGUGGCGGAACUCCUGGUGUAGUGGUGAAAUGCGUAGAUAUCAGGAAGAACACCCGUGGCGCAAGCGGCCACCUGGCAGAGUGCUGACGCUGAGGCACGAAAGCGUGGGGAGCGAACGGG
rnacentral:rRNA from 1 species